GUUGCUUGAUGCCCAGUGUCU
rnacentral:piRNA from 1 species